rnacentral:rRNA from 1 species
GAUGGUAGCCUAGGCAAAAAAAUACAGGACGUUUAACAACGAAAUUUCAUGAAGAGAUGUAUAGAAAUCAGUGACGUAUGAAUCUCCUUUGGGAAACCUUUAUGAAAAAACCGAGUGAAUUGAAACAUCUUAUUAACUCGAAAAAAAAAUCAACCGAGAGCCUGUUAGUAGCGGUGAGCGAAUAUGGGUAAGGCCCUAUUCAUGAAUAGAUUCUUUAUUCUUAACUUUAAAAGUUAUUGAAAAUCUUGCCAAAGAAGGUAAAAGCCCUGUGUCUCUUAAGAGUAAAAAAUUUUUCUAUGAUUGAAUAAGUGAGUUUUUCAAAACUGAACAAGAAUAGUAUGCUUGCAUACGUUUUUAAGGGGUACCACCCUCUAAGCCUUUAUCGUUUUUUUUGACCGAUAGUGAACAAGUACUGUGAAGGAAAGGUAUGAAAAGAAAUCCGAAAUCCGGAUGUGAAAAAGAAUCGACAAAUCCGAUAUUGACAAUCAGUCGUUGCAAAGCGGCGUACCUUUUGCAUAAUGGGUCAGCGAGUAAGGAAAAAAAGCAAGCUUAAACCCAUAGGUGUAGGCUUAAUGAAAGUGAAAUGAGUUUUUUUUUCUUGACCCGAAACCGAGUGAUCUAGUUAUGAGCAAGUUGAAAGAAUGGUAAUACAUUUUGGAGGACUGAACCUGUGUCUGUGGCAAAAGACUAGGAUGACUUGUGGCUAGGGGUGAAAAGCCAAUCGAACUCGGAGAUAGCUGGUUUUCUGCGAAAUUUAUUGAGGUAAAGCGUUUGCUUUUUUUGUACCCAUAGGAGGUAGAGCACUCGUUAAAGGCAAUUGAGCUUUUUAGUGAAACUCCGAAUACUUAUGGAAGUUUAAGGCAAGCAGACAGACACUGAAUGCUAAGGUCCAGUGUCAAGAGGGAAACAGCCCAGAUUAUAUGUUAAGGUCCCAAAGCUUUCGCUGUGUGGGAAAGGAAGUCUUUGAACUAUGACAACCAGCAGAUUGGCUUGGAAGCAGCCAUUCUUUGAAGAAAGCGUAACAGCUCACUGGUCGAGUUCAAAAGUAGCGCCAAAGAUGUGCGGGGCUUAAGCGAAACACCGAAACAAUAAUUAUAUUUAAAAAAAUAUAAGGUAGCAGAACGUUCUGUAAUUCAAUGAAGGAAAUCUGAAAAGAUAAAAAAAUCUGGAGAUAUCAGAAGUGAGAAUGCUGACAUGAGUAACGAAAAAUCAUGUGAUAUUCAUGAUCGCCGAAAGUCCAAGGGUUUCUGCGCACCGCAAAUCGACGCAGAGUAAACCGGCCCCUAAGAGGUUAAAAGAAAUUUUAACUCGAUGGGAAUAUUUAAAAAAGUAGAUUAUAGAUUGACGAAUUUUUAUUAGCUUUAGUUUAUUAUAGGAUUUAAACUAUAUUUAAAGAAAUUCCAGGAAAUAACUAUAAUAAUCUGUACCGUACCCUAAACCGACUCUGGUGGACAGGUUGAAAAAACUAAGGCGUUGGGAGAACCAUGUUGAAGGAACUCGGCAAAAUACCUCUGUAACUUUGGGAGAAAGAGGACCAAAAAUUUGGUGGCACAAAAAUGAGAGCGGCGCCUGUUUAUUAAAAACACAGGGCUCUGCAAAAUGAUUACAUUAUGUAUAGGGCCUGACACCUGCCCGGUGCUGGAAAGAUAGAGAUGGAGAUUCAUCAAUGGAUAGCCACUUAAUAACCAGUAAACGGCGGCUGUAACACUAACAGUCCUAAGGUAGCAAAAUUCCUCGGCACUUAAUUGGUGUCCUGCACGAAUGGUGUAACGAUCGCUCUACUGUCUCCAACAUGGACCCAGUGAAAUUGAAUUCUCCGUGCAGAUGCGGAGUACUAGCAGCUAGACGGUAAGACCCUGUGCACCUUUACUAUAGCUUUGCAUUGGCAAACCUUAUAAAAUGUAUAGAAUAGGUGGGAGGUUAUAAACCAAACGUGGAAUACCACCCUUUUCAUAGGGUUUUCCUUACUAAUUUAAAUUUAGGACAGUGCAUGGUGGGUAGUUUUUCUGGGGCGGAAGCCUGCUAAAAAGUAACGGAGGCGUGCAAAGGUAAGCUCAAAUUGGUCGGAAAUCAAUUGAAGAGCGUAAUGGUAAAAGCUUGCCUGACUGCAAGACCUACAAGUCGAGCAGGGACGAAAAGUCGGCCAUAGUGACCCGGGAGUUCUGUGUGGAAGGGCUCUCGCUUAACGGAUCAAAGGUACGCCAGGGAUAACAGACUAAUUACCCCCAAGAGUUCAUAUCGACGGGGUAGUUUGGCACCUCGAUGUCAGCUUGUCACAUCCUCGGGGUGAAGAAGCUCCGAAGGGUCGGGCUGUUCGCCCGUAAAAGUGGUACGUGAGCCGGGUUUAAUACGUUGUAAAACAGUAUGGUUCCUAUCUACUGCUAGUGUUAUGAAACUGAAGGAAGAAAGUCGUCGUACGAAAGGAACCGAACUUUGCAACCCCUGGUGGAUAAGUUGUUGUGCCAAUGGCAUUGCUUAGUAGCUACGUUGCCUAAUUUUAACUGCUGAAAGCAUCUAAGCAGGAAAUUUUACCUGAAACAAGUUUCAAUUUACAAACCGUGAAAGAUUAUCACGUGAUAGGCACUAAGUGUAUAGGUAGUAAUACAAAAAGCUUAUGUGUACUAAG